CGUGCCAGCAGCCGCGGUAAUACAUAGGUCACAAGCGUUAUCCGGAAUUAUUGGGCGUAAAGCGUUCGUAGGCGGUUUGUUAGGUCUGGAGUUAAAGACUGGGGCUCAACCCCAGCCCGCUCUGGAUACUGGCUGACUAGAGUUACAUAGAGGUAAGUGGAAUUCUUAGUGGAGCGGUGGAAUGCGUAGAUAUUAGGAAGAACACCAAUGGCGAAGGCAGCUUACUGGAUGUACACUGACGCUCAGGGACGAAAGCGUGGGGAGCAAACAGGAUUAGAUACCCUGGUAGUCCACGCCGUAAACGAUGAUCAUUAGCCGCUAGAAUAUUUAGUGGCGCAGCUAACGCAUUAAAUGAUCCGCCUGAGUAGUAUGCUCGCAAGAGUGAAACUUAAAGGAAUUGACGGGGACCCGCACAAGCGGUGGAGCAUGUGGUUUAAUUUGAAGAUACGCGUAGAACCUUACCCACUCUUGACAUCUUCCGCAAUACUAUGGAGACAUAGUGGAGGUUAACGGAAUGACAGAUGGUGCAUGGUUGCCGUCAGCUCGUGCCGUGAGGUGUUAGGUUAAGUCCUGCAACGAGCGCAACCCCUGUCUUUAGUUACUAACGGAUAAUGCCGAGGACUCUAGAGAGACUGACUGGGUAACCAGUAGGAAGGUGGGGACGACGUCAAAUCAUCAUGCCUCUUACGAGUGGGGCAA
rnacentral:rRNA from 1 species